rnacentral:rRNA from 1 species
UACGGGGGGAGCAAGCGUUGUUCGGAUUUACUGGGCGUAAAGGGCGCGUAGGCGGUCAGCACCGGUCAGUUGUGAAAUCUCCGAGCUUAACUCGGAAAGGUCAACUGAUACUGUGCGACUAGAGUGCAGAAGGGGCAACUGGAAUUCUUGGUGUAGCGGUGAAAUGCGUAGAUAUCAAGAGGAACACCUGCGGCGAAGGCGGGUUGCUGGGCUGACACUGACGCUGAAGCGCGAAAGCCAGGGGAGCGAACGGG